AUUGAACGCUGGCGGCAGGCCUAACACAUGCAAGUCGAGCGGAUGAAGGGAGCUUGCUCCUGGAUUCAGCGGCGGACGGGUGAGUAAUGCCUAGGAAUCUGCCUGGUAGUGGGGGAUAACGUCCGGAAACGGGCGCUAAUACCGCAUACGUCCUGAGGGAGAAAGUGGGGGAUCUUCGGACCUCACGCUAUCAGAUGAGCCUAGGUCGGAUUAGCUAGUUGGUGGGGUAAAGGCCUACCAAGGCGACGAUCCGUAACUGGUCUGAGAGGAUGAGCAGUCACACUGGAACUGAGACACAGUCCAGUCUCCUACGGGAGGCACCCGUGGGGAUUAUUGGAGCAUGGGCGAAAGCCUGAUCCCGCCAGGCCGCGGGUGUGUAGAAGGUCUUCGGAUUGUAAAGCACUUUAAGUUGGGAGGAAGGGCAGUACGUUUAUGCCUUGCUGUUUUGACGUUACCAACAGAAUAAGCCCUCGCUAACUUCGUG
rnacentral:rRNA from 1 species